rnacentral:lncRNA from 1 species
GUGGGGCACCAGGACCUCAAGGUUUUCAAGGUGACCCUGGUUUCCCUGGAACGGGUGAAUCAAUCCCAGGAAGACCUGGAUUUCCUGGACCACCAGGCCUACCUGGACAGCCAGGAAGACAAGGCUUACCUGGACUACCCAGUAUAAUCUGUACUGACAGAGGGAUCCCUGGAGAACCUGGAGCAAAAGGUCAGAUAGGCCUUCCGGGAAGAAAAGGUGAAAAAGGAGAAAAGGGAAAUCAAGGCCUCUGCUCAUGUAGUGCUGGUCCUCCUGGUCGCCGUGGUUUGCAAGGACCUCCAGGUGCUCAAGGAAAGAAAGGACAAAUGGGAUACCCUGGAAGACAUGGAGAAAAGGGUGACCCAGGCUUGUCUGGUGCAAUGGGAUCACCAGGGCUCCCUGUGAGUAGUUUUCAUGAGCUUCAGUGAAUAAAUAACAUCGUCACCACUUAUGCAGGAGACAUUUCAGCAGAGAGGUGGAGGAACUGCCCUGGAAAAGUAUCUGAAAGUUUUAUCUAAUUUUGCUUUUUCAGUCUUGUUGGAGGAUGCAUUUUAUUAGCUUCUAUCUGAUUUCCCUUGCGGCAGUGGGCAGAGUUUUACGCUGAGGGACAGAAUCCCAUGCUGUGUUUGUGGGAUGGUCAGGAGGCUUAGGAGAGCUGGUGAAUGUUCAUCUUGUUUUGUUUUUACUUGUUUUUUACUUGUAGUUUUGAAUACCCA